CUGCAACAAAAUUAGUAGUUACUACUAUUCCUAUGAAACCUAAUUUAGGUUCCCGACACGCUCCUCGUAUCUUAUUUUUUGAAAAUUUUACGAAUCUCGCUUCCGAUCUCGCUCCCGCUUCCGAUCCCGCUCUCGUUCUUGGUUAUUAAGAUAAAUACCCAUAAAUUGUAUAUAGAUGAAAGUCUAGAAGAUAGAGAAGCUUUACAUACGAGUUACGGGAAGGUUUUGAACAUUGAUGUGAGAUAUUUCCCCAUGAAAUAGGAAUUGAUGUGAGAUAUUCAUUGGUCAAUGUGGAAUGAAUGGGUUUGACAUACAUGGGUCUGGUAAGUAGAGAUGAUCCGGAAAAUGAAGAUGCUGGAAACUAGGCCAGCAGAAAACUCCUAAAAGAGGAACUACCAAAGAUUUUCGUGGAGGAAAUUAAUGAGCAGAACGAUGAGGCCGAACCGAAGGUGAUUGAUAAAGACGAUGGUCUUAUAGUGGAGGAGGCUAAGUUUGGUAGUACCGAACAUACUGCAUUGUACGCUCGCAUUAUUCGAGUGUUAGACAUGGGGAUGAGGCCAACAGGAAAUCCCUGAAGGAGGAACUAGUGAAGAUUGUAGAGGAGGAUAAUAGUAAGGAGAAUGUUGAAACCAAAGCUAAGGUGAUUGACGAAAACUAUGGCUUGAUACUUGAUAGUGGAUAAGGAUAAAGUUGAUAGAAGCAAAGAGACUGUUCUAUUUUGGGGUAUGCGGAAUUAGUUGAUCGCUGUGGGAAAGAGUUUAAGGCUAAGCAGGAAGCCAACAGAAACUCCCGAGAAGAGUCACCACUGAAGAAGAAGAAGAAGAAGUCUGAGGAUAAAAAUGGUGAUGAUGCCAAGGAUUCAGAGUAAAUAAACCUAUGUGGUGGUUUGAGAGAGUUUACCAAGUGCUUUUGAGUACUACAUUUUGUUUUCUUUUCAUGUGAGUCAUUCUCAUGUUAAAGAACUUUUGCCGACUGUCAACUCUUGUUAAAGAUAAAAUAAAAGUUGAUUCUUUAGCUGAA